UUGCGCAGUAUAGGUGGGAGGCAAAGAGUAUAUGUUCGCGGAUGUAUAUGAGCCAUUAGUGAGAUACCACUCUGAUUAAACUAGAAUUCUAAUAUUGAUUGCCAUAAGCUGGCCAAUAGACAGUUUCUGGUGGGCAGUUUGACUGGGGCGGUCGCCUCCUAAAAGGUAACGGAGGCGUGCAAAGGUUUCCUCAGGCUGGUCGGAAAUCAGUCGUAGAGUAUAAAGGCAUAAGGAAGCUU
rnacentral:rRNA from 1 species